rnacentral:rRNA from 1 species
UACGUAGGGGGCGAGCGUUGGCCGGAUUUACUGGGCGUAAAGCGCGCGUAGGCGGUCUGUUAAGUGCACGAGUGAAAGCUCCGGGCUCAACUCGGAAAUUGCUCUGCAUACUGGCAGGCUGGAGGGACGCAGAGGUCUGUGGAAUUCCUGGUGUAACGGUGAAAUGUGUUGAUAUCAGGAGGAACACCCAUGGCGAAGGCAGCAGACUGGGCGUUUCCUGACGCUGAGGCGCGAAAGCGUGGGUAGCAAACAGG